CGACACAGUGGAUCCAUGCGGAGAGCCUUGAACAUGAUGGGGUCAUUUGCUUUGAGAGAAGACAGCUGCUGCGUAGUGUGAGCAGCCCUACAGAGAGGCCCAUCUGGCAAGAAACCGAAGCCUCCUGCCAACAGCCAUGUGAAUGAUCUUGGAGCAGACUCUCCCUCCCCAUCAGAUGACUGUGUCCCCAGCUGACAGCAUGCUACAGCCAGCCAACUGCCAUGUCAUGAGACAGCCCUCCGGAGAGAGAAGCCAUGUCAGAAGAAUACUCAGCAGCCUGUGAAGGGUUCCAUGUAGUAAGAAACUGAGGCUUGCUGCCAACUACAUGAGUGACCUUGGUAAUGGAUAUCUGAGGCCUGCACACAAGCAUAUGAUUGGCUAGGAAGGACUGGGGAAGCCUGUUCACACUCUCUUCCUCCUUCGGCUGAUGCAGGGACCAUCUGGAGCAGAUGCCAAGGAGCAGUGGCAUAUUCCGAAAAGCGUGAACAGUUUGGUGUGGCUGAAACACAGAAUGCUGGAGCAGUAAGAGAAUAAGAGUCCAGAGAGUAAGCUGGAGAUGGGGGUCUGCAGGGAGAAAGAGAACUAGAGGGACAAGAUUGCCAAGAUGACCUUUUAUUUUAUGAUGAAGACAAAGGAUUUCCCCCCUCUCUAAUUUACAAGAUAUAAAAAUGGGAAACCAUUUUCCCUAGUUGCCUCAAGAUCAACUUCCUUGAAGGAAGGAAGGAAGGAAGCCAUCUUAGGUAGAUGCAGGAAACCACCUUGUCCCCACGAUGGAAGCAAAUAUGAGUCAACAUACAGAAAAAGAGCAGCCAACAAAAUCUCAGAGUAAUGGAAACAGAGCUCUGGUUUUACUUACUGUGGGCCUUGCUUAGCCUUGACUUAAUGGUAUGUGAGAAAAUAAGUUUCCUUAUUGUUUAA